rnacentral:rRNA from 1 species
UACGGGGGGGAGCAAGCGUUGUUCGGAUUUACUGGGCGUAAAGGGCGCGUAGGCGGUCAGCACAAGUCAGUUGUGAAAUCUCCGGGCUUAACUCGGAAAGGUCAACUGAUACUGUGCGACUAGAGUGCAGAAGGGGCAACUGGAAUUCUCGGUGUAGCGGUGAAAUGCGUAGAUAUUCGCAAGAACACCAGUGGCGAAGGCGACUACCUGGCCUGUUCUUGACGCUGAGGCGCGAAAGCUAGGGGAGCAAACGGG